UACGGAGGGUGCAAGCGUUGUUCGGAAUCACUGGGCGUAAAGCGCGUGUAGGCGGCCUUUUAAGUCUGAUGUGAAAGCCCGGGGCUCACCCCCGGAAGAGCAUUGGAAACUGGGAGGCUUGAGUACCGGAGAGGAAGGUGGAAUUCCAGGUGUAGCGGUGAAAUGCGUAGAUAUCUGGAGGAACACCGGUGGCGAAGGCGGCCUUCUGGACGGAUACUGACGCUGAGACGCGAAAGCGUGGGGAG
rnacentral:rRNA from 1 species